rnacentral:rRNA from 1 species
AUUGAACGCUGGCGGCAGGCCUAACACAUGCAAGUCGAGCGGAUGAAGGGAGCUUGCUCCUGGAUUCAGCGGCGGACGGGUGAGUAAUGCCUAGGAAUCUGCCUGGUAGUGGGGGAUAACGUCCGGAAACGGGCGCUAAUACCGCAUACGUCCUGAGGGAGAAAGUGGGGGAUCUUCGGACCUCACGCUAUCAGAUGAGCCUAGGUCGGAUUAGCUAGUUGGUGGGGUAAAGGCCUACCAAGGCGACGAUCCGUAACUGGUCUGAGAGGAUGAUCAGUCAAACGGGAACUGAGACACGGUCCAGACUCCGACGGGAGGCAGCAGGGGGAAUUGUUGGACAAGGGGCAAAAGCCUGACCCAGCCAGCCCGCGUGUGGAAGGAGGGUCUUCGGAUUGUAAACCUCUUUAAGUGGGGAGGAAGGAAAGUAAUUUAAUACCUUGCUUUUUUGACGUAACCAAAAAAAAAGGCACCGGCAAACUUCGUG